GAAAGGCGCUUUUGCGUCACUGAUGGAUGGACCCGCGGUGCAUUAGCUAGUUGGUGAGGUAACGGCUCACCAAGGCCACGAUGCAUAGCCGACCUGAGAGGGUGAUCGGCCACACUGGGACUGAGACACGGCCCAGACUCCUACGGGAGGCAGCAGUAGGGAAUCUUCGGCAAUGGACGAAAGUCUGACCGAGCAACGCCGCGUGAGUGAAGAAGGUUUUCGGAUCGUAAAACUCUGCUGUUAGAGAAGAACAAGGAUGAGAGUAGAACGUUCAUCCCUUGACGGUAUCUAACCAGAAAGCCACGGCUAACUACGUGCCAGCAGCCGCGGUAAUACGUAGGUGGCAAGCGUUGUCCGGAUUUGUUGGGCGUAAAGCGAGCGCAGGCGGUUUCUUAAGUCUGAUGUGAAAGCCCCCGGCUCAACCGGGGAAGGUCAUUGGAAACUGGGAGACUUGAGUGCAGAAGAGGAGAGUGGAAUUCCAUGUGUAGCGGUGAAAUGCGUAGAUAUAUGGAGGAACACCAGUGGCGAAGGCGGCUCUCUGGUCUGUAACUGACGCUGAGGCUCGAAAGCGUGGGGAGCGAACAGGAUUAGAUACCCUGGUAGUCCACGCCGUAAACGAUGAGUGCUAAGUGUUGGAGGGUUUCCGCCCUUCA
rnacentral:rRNA from 1 species